GGCCUGAUGGUCUAGUAGUAUGAUUCCUUGUUAGAGUAGAGUUCUUAUCGAGGAGGUCCCGGGUUCAAUUUCCGGUCAAGCCC